UGUGUGUGUGUGUGUGUGUGUGUGUGUGUGUAUAUAUAUAUACGUACACACACACACUCACAGACACACACA